GACGAACGCUGGCGGCGUGCUUAACACAUGCAUGUCGAACGGAAAGGCCCUGCUUUUGUGGGGUGCUCGAGUGGCGAACGGGUGAGUAACACGUGAGUAACCUGCCCUUGACUUUGGGAUAACUUCAGGAAACUGGGGCUAAUACCGGAUAGGAGCUCCUGCUGCAUGGUGGGGGUUGGAAAGUUUCGGCGGUUGGGGAUGGACUCGCGGCUUAUCAGCUUGUUGGUGGGGUAGUGGCUUACCAAGGCUUUGACGGGUAGCCGGCCUGAGGGGGUGACCGGCCACAUUGGGACUGAGAUACGGCCCAGACUCCUACGGGAGGCAGCAGUGGGGAAUAUUGCACAAUGGGCGGAAGCCUGAUGCAGCAACGCCGCGUGCGGGAUGACGGCCUUCGGGUUGUAAACCGCUUUCGCCUGUGACGAAGCGUGAGUGACGGUAAUGGGUAAAGAGGCACCGGCUAACUACGUG
rnacentral:rRNA from 1 species